CUGCUGGCGACGCGGAGGCGCACCGACAGCUGAUUGGUUCUUCAGGAGGAUGUUUCUACCAUAGAUUCGAACUUUUUCUGAGGGUACCAAAUCGGUUCAUUCUCCAAUUUCGGCACAAUCACCUUUGAGUUUGCAGCUUUUCAGGUCUCAGGAGCUUGGAAGGUCAAUUGGAUGCUGGAAAGGAGACACUUUUAUUUGGCUGGACCGCUGGAGUGCUUCUGUUGGAUUCAUCUGCUAACCUGAUCAGCUUUGGAACUCGGCUCUCGGACGUGGCAGCAGCAUAUGCUACCGGUUUUUUUUGUUUGUUUGUUUGGAGCGCGUGCACAGGUACGGAGAUCUAGUGUUGUCAUCCUCACAAUCCGAAUCGUCGUGUAACUAUCGUUCAUGGGAUAACCUGAAGAAUAUCCGGACAUAUAUGCCACGAACACGCCAGGAAUGACUCGUUCCUACGGCCUGUUUCUCGGCAGAUUUGGACCCUUUAAUUAGCAUGAUCACUGAAGCCUUGUUUGGAACAGGAAAAUGGAUUUUGUACGACCGUACAUAUAUAUUCACGAAUCGUCGAGCCCCGGUUUCCCCAAGGAAUACGUGGUACGUGUGUACAGAAGUUGUUGUACAAAUGCAAGAGACCGUGCCUGUGUUCUCCCAGCAGCUCGCGGAACUCGCUCACGUCAACGUUUUUGUCGCGCAAAGGCUGGUGCAUUUGCGUUACACUCUUGUGCCAUAAUUGGGAGUGCACUUGCAUGUGUUUUAAUAGGUGCA